CCCACACACAGACACGCGCGCACGCACACACACACACACACACACAUAGGCGCGCGCGCAAUAACAUCACAAGUCCGUAGCCUACCUUCCGUGUGACAGCUGGAGGACAGGAUGGUGCUUGAGGGUCUGAAGAGGUAUACAGACGAGGAGGCAUACAAAGGUAUGUCAAUUGGUGUUGGUAUAUUAUGCAGAUCACAUUUACCAUCCUCCUCCCUUACCUCUUCAAUGAAUAUCCCAUAGGCCUCUACAUUAUGGACAAGACUUCACCCUCCCUACACCUCUGAUGAAUAUAACAGGAAACCUGUUUGAUCACCACACACUGCCAAAUCAUUCCGGCCGUGGAUACAGAGAACAUCAACACAUUAACAUCAACAUACCAGAGGAUUUACCCAUUGGACUUGGGUCUCUGCUGGGAGUUUACCUCAUAUUUGGAUUUUUUAAUUCUGCUUUACCACUAAAAUUAUAAGAAACAUUGACAACUAAAAUAUUGUCAUA